rnacentral:tRNA from 1 species
AAUGAAGUGCCUGAAGUUAAAGGAACAUCUUGAUAGGGGGGAUCAUGUGAAUAUCACCUUCAUUA